AAUGAACGCUGGCGGCGCGCCUAAUACAUGCAAGUCGAGCGAGAAGACGUAGCAAUACGUUUGUAAAGCGGCGAACGGGUGAGGAAUACAUGGGUAACCUACCCUCGAGUGGGGAAUAACUAGCCGAAAGGUUAGCUAAUACCGCGUACGCUUCUUGGACUUCGGUUCAGGGAGGAAAGCGAUGCCGAGGGUAUCGCGCUCUUGGAUGGGCUCAUGUCCUAUCAGCUUGUUGGNGAGGUAACGGCUCACCAAGGCUUCGACGGGUAGCUGGUCUGAGAGGACGAUCAGCCACACUGGCACUGCGACACGGGCCAGACUCCUACGGGAGGCAGCAGUAAGGAAUAUUGCGCAAUGGGCGAAAGCCUGACGCAGCGACGCC
rnacentral:rRNA from 1 species